rnacentral:rRNA from 1 species
CGAUGUACACUAGUUGUUGUGAGACUAGAUCUUGCAGUAAUGCAGUUAACACAUUAAGUGUACCGCCUGGGGAGUACGGUCGCAAGAUUAAAACUCAAAGGAAUAGACGGGGACCCGCACAAGCGGUGGAGCAUGUGGUUUAAUUCGACGAUACACGAAGAACCUUACCUGGACUUGACAUAGUAAGAACUUUCUAGAGAUAGAUUGGUGUCUGCUUGCAGAAACUUAUAUACAGGUGCUGCACGGCUGUCGUCAGCUCGUGUCGUGAGAUGUUGGGUUAAGUCCCGCAACGAGCGCAACCCUCGUGUUUAGUUGCUAACAGUUCGGCUGAGAACUCUAAACAGACUGCCUACGCAAGUAGGAGGAAGGUGAGGACGACGUCAAGUCAUCAUGGCCCUUACGUCCAGGGCUACACACGUGCUACAAUGGGAUAUACAAAGAGCGGCAAUACGGUGACGUGGAGCAAAUCUUAUAAAAUAUCUCCCAGUUCGGAUUGUAGUCUGCAACUCGACUACAUGAAGUUGGAAUCGCUAGUAAUCGUAGAUCA